rnacentral:misc_RNA from 1 species
UUUCCGUAGGUGAACCUGCGGAAGGAUCAUUAACACUUUGAAAGUAUCCAAAUAACCUUUGGAUCAACCAACUUUUGUACGAACGUGGUAUCUUUUCCGGUUCUAUGGCGCAACGUGCGAACUAGCCGUUGGUCAUGGGGCUUGUCCCUGUUCCCAAUUUUUUUUGGAACUAUUCUGAACCCAACUGUCUGAUGUUUUUGUUCUCUCUCCCACUUGGAAGAGGAACAAACCAAAACAAACGCAAAACAACUCUUAACAACGGAUAUCUUGGCUCUC